rnacentral:rRNA from 1 species
UACGUAGGGUGCAAGCGUUGUUCGGAAUUACUGGGCGUAAAGCGCGCGUAGGCGGGCUUGUAAGUCGAUUGUGAAAGCCCUGGGCUUAACCCGGGAAUGGCAGUCGAAACUAUAAGUCUUGAGUGCCUGAGAGGAUGGCGGAAUUCCCGGUGUAGAAGUGAAAUUCGUAGAUAUCGGGAAGAACACCUGAGGCGAAGGCGGCUAUCUGGCGGUGCACUGACGCUAAGGCGCGAAAGCGUGGGGAGCAAACAGG